ACAGUGGAGGGAAAACGACAAACCACGGUGGCGAAGGGACUGAGCGCAGGUGGCAGGGCAGCGAAGGCGAGGGCGGCGACAGCAGA
rnacentral:ribozyme from 1 species